AAUUGAUAUAACGUCUCUCUAAUGAAAUUAGAGCAUGCGUUUUAGCCGUAUGUCUUAAUUACAAGAUUGGGCAAAACCGGUUUAUAAAAUUGCUUGGUAUCACUGUUGCUAAAACCCAGUUUCUUGUUUUUUCCAUGUUUGUUAAACCACAUAUUUUUUUGGAUGAUAUGUCUGGUGUCUACCUCCACAAUGCAUUUUGGGAGGGGAGGGGAUAAGAAAGAGGGAAAGCCUAACUUAAAAUAGUUUGUUCUUUUCUAGGUAGAAGGCUGUGGAAAAAAUAAAUCAUUUUGCCUUCAAAAAAAAAAAAAAAUCCAGCAACUUUUUCUUUAAGGUGCUCUGAUGCCCCGUUGUGUGGAGCCGAAACUUACAGCAACAGAAAGAUUUAUGCGUCAGGGAUGUGGUGUUUGCAACUCAAAGAAAUGUCACUCCAAAGCUCUUGCUGUUUGCACAUCAGGUAUGUUCUCUGGUUCUCUGCUGUAUUUGCUGUGGUGGUGUAGCAGCUUUUGUUCACAAGCACUGCCAAUCAGGAUUGGGACCUGUGGCAUGGAGGAGGCAACAGUUGUUUUUACACUAACUCUAGUUAGUCAAAGGGCUGUCGGAGUGUGGAAAUUUCAAAUGCAUCCUGAAAUCCAAUUAGAAUAUUGGCAUGAUACAACAUUUGUGACGGACUUUCUCCACAAAUAA
rnacentral:lncRNA from 1 species